rnacentral:rRNA from 1 species
UACAGAGACUGCAAGCGUUAUUCGGAUUCACUGGGCGUAAAGGGUGCGCAGGCGGUUGCGUGUGUUGGAUGUGAAAGCCUGGGGCUCAACCCCAGAAUUGCGUCCAAAACUACGCGACUAGAGUACCGGAGAGGAUAGCGGAAUUCACGGUGUAGCAGUGAAAUGCGUAGAUAUCGUGAAGAACACCAGCGGCGAAGGCGGCUAUCUGGAAGGUAACUGACGCUCAGGCACGAAAGCGUGGGGAGCAAAAGGGAUUAGAUACCCCUGUAGUCCACGCCCUAAACGGUGCACACUAGGUGUUAGCGGAUUCGACCCCGUUAGCGCCCAAGCUAACGCGUUAAGUGUGCCGCCUGAGGACUACGGCCGCAAGGCUAAAACUCAAAGGAAUUGACGGGGGCCCGCACAAGCGGUGGAGCAUGUGGCUCAAUUCGAUGCAACGCGAAGAACCUUACCAGGCCUUGACAUGCAUUGGACCGACGCUGAAAGGCGUCUUUCCCGCAAGGGACCGAUGCACAGGUGCUGCAUGGCUGUCGUCAGCUCGUGUCGUGAGAUGUUGCCUUAAGUGGCGCAACGAGCGCAACCCCUGUCCCUAGUUGCCAUCAUUCAGUUGGGCACUCUAGGGAGACAAACCUCUUUUAGAGGUGGGAAGGUGGGGAUGACGUCAAGUCAGGAUGGCCCUUACGGCCUGGGCUGCACACGUGCUACAAUGCUCGGCACAGAGGGAAGCGAAACCGCGAGGUGGAGCAAAUCCUCAAAACCGAGCCCAGUUCAGAUUGGAGUCUGCAACUCGACUCCAUGAAGCCGGAAUCGCUAGUAAUGGCGCAUCAGCUACGGCGCCGUGAAUACGUUCCCGGGUCUUGUACACACCGCCCGUCACGUCAUGAAAGCCGGUUUCGCCCGAAGUACGCUUGCCAACCCUUAAAAGAGGCGGCGUCCUAAGGUGAGGCUGGUGAUUGGGACG